ACCUGACGCAGCGACGCCGCGUGAGGGAAGAAGGCCUUCGGGUUGUAAACCUCUUUCAGGAGGGACGAAGCCACUCGGGUGAACAGCCCAGAGGGUGACGGUACCUCCAGAAGAAGCCCCGGCUAACUACGUGCCAGCAGCCGCGGUAAUACGUAGGGGGCAAGCGUUGUCCGGAUUUACUGGGCGUAAAGAGCGUGUAGGCGGCCUCACAGGUCCGUUGUGAAAACUGAAGGCUUAACCUUCAGAGGUCGACGGAAACCGUGUGGCUAGAGUCCGGAAGAGGAGAGUGGAAUUCCUGGUGUAGCGGUGAAAUGCGCAGAUAUCAGGAAGAACACCAAUGGCGAAGGCAGCUCUCUGGGACGGUACUGACGCUGAGACGCGAAAGCGUGGGGAGCAAACAGGAUUAGAUACCCUGGUAGUCCACGCCGUAAACGAUGGGUGCUAGGUGUGGGAGGUGUCGACUCCUUCCGUGCCGCAGCUAACGCAUUAAGCACCCCGCCUGGGGAGUACGGCCGCAAGGCUA
rnacentral:rRNA from 2 species